GAACUAUCUUGUCCCACACGGCACGGAGCUAUCUUUGGUACUUCUGCAGUGGGCCGUCUCUUCGCCCCCCCCCCCCCUCCCCACUCCCACUCCACUCCACAAAGGGGUCGGUCACGCAAGUGGACCAUCUGACAGCACCGCGGCGGAUGGUGGUCCAUAAUCGGAAGUCGUUUUCCAUGGCUCCGAACUCCUCCCACGCCCGAGUUUUUGCCACCGCUACCGCUGAAGCCGCACACCGCCCGGCCCUUCGGUACCUGCCUGCUGCCCCCGGAGUCCCAUGAGCCAAAAGUGCCCAAUAGCACUCUUUCUUCAGCUUGACGGACACCAGCGGGUACUAGGAUUACCGCCACGACAGGCACCAACCAGGCACAGCUCCAAUCGGCCGCCUCGACAAUAGAGGUGCGGAACAUUGUCCACUCUGACUCAGUGUCCAGCGCCUCCCUCGUGACAUGUUCAAAGUUCUUCGGGAGGUAGUAAUUGAAACUCUCUCUGACAGGAGACACUGGCAGGUGUUCCCAGCAAACCCUCAGAAUGCGUUUGGGCCUGCCGGGUCAAUCUGGCAUCCUCCCUCACCAUCGCAGCCAACUCACCACCAGGUGGUGAUCGGUAGAAAGCUCCGCCCCUCUCUUCACCCGAGUGUCCAAAACAUGAGGCCGCAAAUCCGAUGACACAACUACAAAAAAAAGAUAUAAAAAUAACUUAAAACUUGUUGAAAAAUAAACAAGUGAUUCAAUUUUAAAUAAAGAUGUCUACACAUAGAAGUAAUUAUCAACUUAAAGUGCCCUCUUUGGGGAUUGUAAUAAAGAUCCAUCUGGAUUCAUUAACUUAAUUUUAAACAUUUCUUCACAAAAAAAUAAUUAUUUAACAUCAAUAUUUAUGGAACAUGUCCACAAAAAAAUCUAGCUGUCAACACUGAAUAUUGCAUUGUUGCAUUUCUUUUCACAGUUUAUGAACUUACAUUCAUAUUUUGUUGAAGUAUUAUUCAAUAAAUAUAUUUAUAAAGGAUUUUUGAAUUGUUGCUAUUUUUAGAAUAUUUUUGAAAAAUCUCACGUACCCCUUGGCAUGCCUUAAAGUACCCCCAAGGGUACAUGUACCCCCAUUUGAGAACCACUGGUCUAGUAUGUUCAACAUUUUAUUCAAGAGCUAAAUUGCAGUAAGAAACAUAUGUUAAAUGUACCCUAAGAUUUUUUGUUCAAAUAAAGCCGAUAAUGAAG